AGGGUGGAGCCACUGUCUGGGUGCUGGGGAGCUUCCCGCAGUUGGGCCAGCCUCCCCAAAUGCAGGAGGCCCGUGUGCCCAUAGCCCUAGCUUAUCAAUGGGGACACAGGGUCUGUCUACACUGAAGGUAAAAACCUGCAGCUGGCCUGUGCCAGUGGACCCGGGCUUUUGGGGCGCAGGCCAGCUGGGCUGUUCAAUUGCGGUGUCGAUGCUCGGGCUGCAGCCUGGGCUCUAGGACCCUGCAAGGGGAGAGGCUCUGAGACUCGCUGCGGUGGGGUUGUUUUGUUUGUUUUAUUUUACGGUGUAGAUGUUCCCUGAGACACAGAGAGGUUGAGACUUGAGUGGCAGAGUCAGAACUAAAACACAGGAGUUCCUGGUUCCCAGGCCCUGACCACACGUCUAACUGUGCCACGUGACCGGUGGGCAGGCUGCGUGGUAGAUAAUUGGACACGGCAUUCCCGGGCAAUCAGAGUUUGAAGGAAGGCCGGCUGCGUGAUUGUACAAGUGAUCUGAAUUUCACGGAGCUCUAGAGUGAACCUGGAGAUGAUGCAGGCACAAACUGAGGGAGGGGAGCCCUAAUAUAUUGAAGCAGAAGAAUAGCAUGGAACUUGCAAAAUGAUGAAGUGAGAGACACUGAAAUCGCAAGCUGCUUGUGCGCAGUCCAAAACUCUGUUACAGCCAGGCUUCUCUAAUGAGGACGGCAUCCUGUACUGCUUAUGUGCCUCGCUUGAAAGGGAGAACGUUGAAUGCCAAAGCUGAGCUGAUAUGCCUGUGUCUGUGUAUGGAAUUCCUGACGGGAAACUAUCCAACCACCACUGAAAGACUGAUGGCUACAGGCAAUCAUGUGAUCUGCGUCUUUCUUCAGCAGUCUGCAAAGAGCCAGCCUCGAGCAAGGUGGAGUGAAUUGUGCCUCUGCCUUAGGGAGCAGCCUGCUUUGUCUCUCUCCCUUUUUGAUUCCUGUGUGGUAUCGUUCUGGAUUCUGAGAAUAAGUUAA